rnacentral:rRNA from 1 species
GAUACCCCUGUAGUCCUGGCCGUAAACGAUGAACACUAGGUGUCGGGGGAAUCGACCCCCUCGGUGUCGUAGCCAACGCGUUAAGUGUUCCGCCUGGGGAGUACGCACGCAAGUGUGAAACUCAAAGGAAUUGACGGGGGCCCGCACAAGCGGUGGAGUAUGUGGUUUAAUUCGAUGCAACGCGAAGAACCUUACCAGGGUUUGACAUCCUGCGAAUCCCUUGGAAACUUGGGAGUGCCUUCGGGAGCGCAGUGACAGGUGGUGCAUGGCUGUCGUCAGCUCGUGUCGUGAGAUGUUGGGUUAAGUCCCGCAACGAGCGCAACCCACGUCUUUAGUUGCCAGCAUUUAGUUGGGCACUCUAGAGAGACUGCCGGUGAUAAACCGGAGGAAGGUGUGGAUGACGUCAAGUCAUCAUGCCCCUUACAUCCUGGGCUACACACGUACUACAAUGCUACGGACAAAGGGCAGCAAACUCGCGAGAGCUAGCAAAUCCCCUAAACCGUGGCUCAGUUCAGAUCGUAGGCUGCAACUCGCCUACGUGAAGGAGGAAUCGCUAGUAAUCGCAGGUCAGCAUACUGCGGUGAAUACGUUCCCGGGCCUUGUACACACCGCCCGUCACACCAUGGAAGUUGGCCACGCCCGAAGUCGUUACUCCAACCCUUGUGGAGGAGGAUGCCGAAGGUGGGGCUGAUGACUGGGGUGAAGUCGUAACAAGGUAGCCGUACCGGAAGGUGC